UACAGAGGUCUCAAGCGUUGUUCGGAUUCAUUGGGCGUAAAGGGUGUGUAGGUGGCGCCGUAAGUCGGGUGUGAAAUUUCGGAGCUUAACUCCGAAACUGCAUUCGAUACUGCGGUGCUUGAGGACUGGAGAGGAGACUGGAAUUCAUGGUGUAGCAGUGAAAUGCGUAGAGAUCAUGAGGAAGACCAGUGGCGAAAGGCGGGUCUCUGGACAGUUCCUGACACUGAGACACGAAGGCCCAGGGGGAGCAAAACGGGG
rnacentral:rRNA from 1 species